rnacentral:lncRNA from 1 species
UUUUUUUUUUUUUUUUUUUUGAGAGAUAGGUAGCACGCUAUCCGUUUCGUUUAUUUCAUUUAGAAAUAAACUUAGCUAGAAAUGUGAAUCAACUAGGAUUCGAACUUGGAUCUCGGAUACCAACCACCAAGCCUUUUGCCGCUUGCUCUAGAAAUGGUCGGUGUGCCUGUAUAAAGUUAAUGUAGAUAGUUUGGACACGAUG